CUACGGAGGGUGCAAGCGUUACUCGGAAUCACUGGGCGUAAAGGACGCGUAGGCGGAUUGGAAAGUCAGAUGUGAAAUCCUACAGCUUAACUGUAGAACUGCAUUUGAAACUUCUAAUCUAGAGUAUGGGAGGGGGAGAUGGAAUUAGUGGUGUAGGGGUAAAAUCUGUAGAUAUCACUAGGAAUACCGAAAGCGAAGGCGAUCUCCUGGAACAUAACUGACGCUAAGGCGUGAAAGCGUGGGGAGCAAACGGGAUUAGAAACCCUUGUAGUCC
rnacentral:rRNA from 1 species